GACAGAGGAGCCAAGCGUUGUCCGGAUUGACUGGGCGUAAAGCGCACGCAGGCGGCCCGGCGCGUGGGGUGUGAAAGCUGGCGGCUUAACUGCCAGACGCCAUCCCAUACGGCUGGGCUCGAGCCCUGCAGAGGUCCAUGGAAUUGCCGGUGUAGUGGUGAAAUGCGUAGAGAUGUGGAGGAAUACCGAUGGCGAAGGCAGCCUCCUGGGCCAACAC
rnacentral:rRNA from 1 species